UACGUAGGGUGCAAGCGUUAUCCGGAAUUAUUGGGCGUAAAGAGCUCGUAGGCGGCUUGUCGCGUCGAAUGUGAAAUCCCGAGGCUCAACUUCGGGCUUGCAUUCGAUACGGGCAGGCUAGAGUUCGGUAGGGGAGACUGGAAUUCCUGGUGUAGCGGUGAAAUGCGCAGAUAUCAGGAGGAACACCGAUGGCGAAGGCAGGUCUCUGGGCCGAUACUGACGCUGAGGAGCGAAAGCGUGGGAGCGAACAGG
rnacentral:rRNA from 1 species